GAUACAGGGCGGCGUUCUGGGUAACGAUGCUGCGUCGCUGACACUGAACGCCUCUUUUGCUUUCAAAGAGUCAAACUCAUCUGAGUCCAGUUUCAUCUCCGGUGGUUGGAGCAGUAAAUAACCCGUUCUACACAUUUCCCUUUGUUUGAGGACAAAGAAGAACGAGUUGAUGAUCAAGAUGUUCACAUUUAACAAACCAUCCUGUAAGAAAAUAUUAUGAACCUGAAAUUUCCAGAGAAAAAUGAACAACUAUUAAAAGUUUUAAGUGUGAU